rnacentral:rRNA from 1 species
AGUGAACGCUGGCGGUAGGCCUAACACAUGCAAGUCGAACGGCAGCACAGUAAGAGCUUGCUCUUACGGGUGGCGAGUGGCGGACGGGUGAGGAAUACAUCGGAAUCUACUUUUUCGUGGGGGAUAACGUAGGGAAACUUACGCUAAUACCGCAUACGUCCUACGGGUGAAAGCAGGGGAUCUUCGGACCUUGCGCGAUUGAAUGAGCCGAUGUCGGAUUAGCUAGUUGGCGGGGUAAAGGCCCACCAAGGCGACGAUCCGUAGCUGGUCUGAGAGGAUGAUCAGCCACACUGGAACUGAGACACGGUCCAGACUCCUACGGGAGGCAGCAGUGGGGAAUAUUGGACAAUGGGCGCAGGCCUGAUCCAGCCAUACCGCGUGGGUGAAGAAGGCCUUCGGGUUGUAAAGCCCUUUUGUUGGGAAAGAAAAGCAGCAGGUUAAUACCCCGCUGUUCUGACGGUACCCAAAGAAUAAGCACCGGCUAACUUCGUG